rnacentral:rRNA from 1 species
GAUCCUGGCUCAGAUUGAACGCUGGCGGAAUGCUUUACACAUGCAAGUCGAACGGUAGAGGGGCAACCCUCGAGAGUGGCGAACGGUGAGUAAUAUAUCGGAACGUGCCCAGUCGUGGGGAUAACGUAGCGAAAGUUACGCUAAUACCGCAUACGAUCUACGGAUGAAAGCGGGGGAUCGCAAGACCUCGCGCGAUUGGAGCGGCCGAUAUCAGAUUAGGUAGUUGGUGGGGUAAAGGCUCACCAAGCCAACGAUCUGUAGCUGGUCUGAGAGGACGACCAGCCACACUGGAACUGAGACACGGUCCAGACUCCUACGGGAGGCAGCAGUGGGGAAUUUUGGACAAUGGGCGAAAGCCUGAUCCAGCCAUUCCGCGUGCAGGAUGAAGGCCCUCGGGUUGUAAACUGCUUUUGUACAGAACGAAAAGGUCUCUAUUAAUACUAGGGGCUCAUGACGGUACUGUAAGAAUAAGCACCGGCUAACUACGUG